rnacentral:rRNA from 1 species
GACGAACGCUGGCGGCGUGCUUAACACAUGCAAGUCGAACGGAAAGGCCCUGCUUUUGUGGGGUGCUCGAGUGGCGAACGGGUGAGUAACACGUGAGUAACCUGCCCUUGACUUUGGGAUAACUUCAGGAAACUGGGGCUAAUACCGGAUAGGAGCUCCUGCUGCAUGGUGGGGGUUGGAAAGUUUCGGCGGUUGGGGAUGGACGCGCGGCUUAUCAGCUUGUUGGUGGGGUAGUGGCUUACCAAGGCUGUGACGGGUAGCCGGCCUGAGAGGGUGACCGGCCACAUUGGGACUGAGAUACGGCCCAGACUCCUACGGGAGGCAGCAGUGGGGAAUAUUGCACAAUGGGCGGAAGCCUGAUGCAGCAACGCCGCGUGCGGGAUGACGGCCUUCGGGUUGUAAACCGCUUUCGCCUGUGACGAAGCGUGAGUGACGGUAAUGGGUAAAGAAGCACCGGCUAACUACGUG